CACGUCGAUAUCACUAGUCGCUCUG
rnacentral:piRNA from 1 species